CCAACGGGAGGCUGCAGUGAGGAAUUUUGCGCAAUGGGAGCAAUCCUGACGCAGCAACGCCGCGUGGGUGAUGAAGGCCUUCGGGUCGUAAAGCCCUGUCAGGUGGGAAGAAUGUCCCGGGACUGAACAGGUUUCGGGAGUGACGGUACCACCAGAGGAAGCACCGGCUAACUCCGUGCCAGCAGCCGCGGUAAUACGGAGGGUGCGAGCGUUAUUCGGAAUUACUGGGCGUAAAGCGCGUGUAGGCGGUCCUGCAAGUCUGAGGUGAAAGCCCCGGGCUUAACCCGGGAAGUGCAUUGGAAACUGGGGGACUUGAGUACUGGAGAGGAUGGGGGAAUUCCCGGUAUAGAGGUGAAAUUCGUAGAGAUCGGGAGGAAUAUCAGUGGCGAAGGCGCCCAUCUGGACGGUAACUGACGCUGAGACGCGAAAGCGUGGGGAGCAAACA
rnacentral:rRNA from 1 species